GAACGCUAGCUACAGGCUUAACACAUGCAAGUCGAGGGGCAGCAUGGUCUUAGCUUGCUAAGGCCGAUGGCGACCGGCGCACGGGUGAGUAACACGUAUCCAACCUGCCGUCUACUCUUGGACAGCCUUCUGAAAAGGAAGAUUAAUACAAGAUGGCAUCAUGAGUUCACAUGUUCACAUGAUUAAAGGUAUUCCGGUAGACGAUGGGGAUGCGUUCCAUUAGAUAGUAGGCGGGGUAACGGCCCACCUAGUCUUCGAUGGAUAGGGGUUCUGAGAGGAAGGUCCCCCACAUUGGAACUGAGACACGGUCCAAACUCCUACGGGAGGCAGCAGUGAGGAAUAUUGGUCAAUGGACGAGAGUCUGAACCAGCCAAGUAGCGUGAAGGAUGAAGGUCCUACGGAUUGUAAACUUCUUUUAUAAGGGAAUAAAACCUCCCACGUGUGGGAGCUUGUAUGUACCUUAUGAAUAAGCAUCGGCUAACUCCGUG
rnacentral:rRNA from 1 species